rnacentral:lncRNA from 1 species
UGUGGAGCUGACAUGUGAUCCAAGGAAGACAGGAUGCAUUCUGCCAACGUCCUCCAUAAGACAAGUCUUAUAAAAUAUAAAGAUUAGCAGUUAUGGUUGAUAAUUAAGACUGGGUUAGCAUAUAAGAAAUCCUAGUCAUUGGCCAGCAGCAUUAAUCUCUGUGUGUUAUUUUGGGCAACAGGGCUCGGGCAGCUGGCAGAAAGAUUUUAUUGUUAUAUUAGACCCUCAAAGCCAGUCCCUCAUUGGUAGAAAUGUAGGUCACUCCAUUAUCAGACUUCAGAAUAGAAAGUAAAUUCAAUGGUAAGCCAGAAAAGUCACCCAAAAACUAUUCAGAAUCCAUCAUUGAUACCAAUUACUUAUAUCUAUUUAUUAGUAUUUAACAGACAUUAAGUUUUAUAAUUCAUCUAGACCUGUUAAACUAAAUAUGCUUCAUUCAUAUGUGUUCAAUGUACUGAACAUCACAGGAAGUAAAAGCCAGAUAACAAAAACAGAUGCACCUACUCAGACAGAGACAUUGGUCAUCUGCAUAUUAUAAUAAUUUAGGCUCACAGGGACAAAGGUCACUUCAUGCUAAGAUAUAUUUCCUUAUUUUACUAUGAAAAAAUAGCUAUUUAAAAACCCAUGUAUAUAAGUUUGUUUAAUUAUUAUGUUGCUUAUGCUUGUGUUCAUGUAUCCAUGCAUAUAUGUGUAUACAUGCAUGUGAAGGCCUGAGGUAGACAUCAAGUAUCUUCUUCAAGUGUUCUCCACCUUAUGUUUCAAGACGCAGUCUUAGAAUGAGCCUCAAGCUCACAAUUUGGCAUGGAUGGCUGUGCAUCUGGCCUCAGCCUGAGAUUACAGGAACAUUCUAUAACACUCAGCUUCCUAAGUGCAUGCUAGGGAUCCAAGCUCAGGUCCUCAUGCUUAUACAUGGAGCAAUUUAACAGCAGAGCCUUCCCUACAGUUCAGAAGUUCUUACAAGCAUGAGGGAAGGUGCCUUCAUACCAAUGAGCCCCAUUAGGGUGUCCCCACAGUGGAAAGACUCUGGGGUUCUGUAAAUGAGAAUUCAGUUUAGUUUUUGGAUUUUGGACUUUUUUGUCUCCCCUUUCUCCCUCCCUCCCUCCCUCCCUUCCUUCUUUAAGACCAUGCUCAAACAUAGUUAAAAGCAAACAUGGCUAAGUGUCACAAGUUGAAAAGACUUUUACAAAUGCCUAAAACUGUAAUGUGCAAUUUGCCGAUGAAAAUCAUGUAGCAGAGAAAAUGCAUAACAAAAACAGAUAGAUGCCUCACCUUAAGGGAAAAGGACACAUUCAGUCCCCAAAGCAUUCACUCAGGUAUUUCUAGCAACUAAAGCCCCACAAACUUUUCAUAAAAUAUAUUAACAAGUUCAAUUUAAUUCUGCCUCCUUCUCUUAGUCCCACCCACACUGGACUAACUCUACUCAAGUUCUCUUCUUCUCUCCUAGAAUGUCCAGGACCUCGGAACUUCAGUUUCUAAGAGCUCUGUGUGAUGAUUCAGUGUUCAUUAGUGCAGUUCUCCUGCAUGCAAAGUCUUAUGAAAAAAUGCCUAUGGAGUCUCAAAGACGGUUUUGAUCAACAUGACCUUUUAAUCCAAAGACUGUUGACAUAACUUUCUGAUUGUUCCCUGUGUUCCUUCCCCAAUCAAUUCUUCAAAAUGCAGCCACUAGCUCUGUGCCUUCACUCCAACUAAUCUCUAUUCCAAGUGCAGUCUGUAGACCAGGAGCUUCUGGACCCUUGAGACUUGAUGGUGGUGCAUAUUCUGAGGACCAGUUCCAGCAGGCCUUUAUCAGAAAUGGCUUAUACAAGAUCUCCCAUGAUUUUGUGUGGAGAUUGAAAUCAACAGUCAUGCCCCUCAAUAACCUACCCUGUAGAUUUCUCAGGACAUUGGCCAUUUGCAAUGGCUAUAUUUAAAAUUUCUGUACUUAUUUAUUAAUUGUGAUUUUACAAAUGGUGAUAGGUAGUGUGGUGGUUUGAAUGAUAAUGGCCCCAUAGGCACAUAUGUUUGAAAUAUUAGUUUCUGUUGGGUGGAACUGUUUGGGAAAGUUAGGAGGUAUGGCCUUGUUGGAGGAGGUGUCACCAUGGUCAGGCACUGAGGUUUCCAAAGAUUGGUGUCAUUCCCAGUGUGCCUCUGGUUUUAGAUGUGAGUUCUCAGCUGUUCCUGCCAUCCUGCUUUUGCUCUACUAUCAUAGACUCUAACUCUCUAAAACUGGAACCCCAAUUAAACACUUUCUUUUGUUCAUUACUUUGAUCAUGGUGUUUUAUCACAGCAAUAGAAAAGUAAGUAACUAAGAAAAGGAACAAAAAAUACUACAAAGAUAAAUGAAUUAAUAAUUUCCCCACUGUUCUAUAUCUGUGUCCCGUUAAUUCCCAUGCAAAUUAUUUCCCUUCUACAGCUGCUCAGACCUCCACUUAGUGCCAAGUUCAGAUUUUAAACAUGCCCAUUGGAUACUUGCAGCUACAUAGAACCAUACCAAUUAAAAAAACAACUAUAGCUAAUUAUCUUCUGCCUUUACAAUACCUUUGCUAUCCUACUAUAAGUGAUAAAAUUGAUUGUACCCAUUAAAGAUAUUUCCAGGUGAGUUUACUAAUCACACUCAUCUGAUAAAUUCAAUUCUAAAAGCAUAUUAGAUUGGUCCCCAAAGCAUCCAACUCUUUGAAAUGAGAUACCACUACCCCCAAUCUGUACAGUGUCCUAUCUCAGCCUACUAUUUUUGCAGUAGCAUUUUGUUAUUGUACUUUAUUUUUUGUGGUGUGUAUGUAUGUACAUGUGUAUAUAUGUAUAUAUAUAUAUACAUAUAUAUAUAUAUAUAUAUAUAUAUAUAUCACAUACACACACAUAAGCACACACACAUACAACUUGUGUACGUGUGUGUGUGUGUGUGUGUGUGUGUGUGUGUGUGUGUGUGUGUGAGUUUGCAAGUAUACAAAGGCCAGAGAUGAACAGGUGUCUUCCUCUAUCUCUGUGCCUUACCCUUGAGACAGGGUCUCUCACAAAACCAGAAGCUCCUCAUUUUGACUAUACUGGCUGGCCAUCAAGCUCCCAGGAUUUACCUGUCUCUGCUUACUAAAGCUGGGGUUACAGGCAAGUGUAGCUUUGCCAAGGUAUUUGCUGGCUAUUAGGCAGUCAAACUCAGGUCCUCAUGCUUUCAAAGUAAGCAUACUUAUCCACUGAGCCAUCUCCCUAGCCCCAGAAAAUAUAUUUUAAUGUCCAUGUUUUUGACUGGGUGAGACCCUUAUAUUGGUAGCCUAAUAUGUAGAUUUAGCAAUAAACUAAAAAGUCAAAGACCUCUAAAUUCUAAUGAAUGUUACUGGGAACUCCAAUUUUCCAGAUUAUUUUGGAAGCAAUAAUUGGAGCUUAGGCCUUAAUUACAACAAAAUAUAUGAAUAAAUAUUUUUGCUACUUUACAGCCAUGCGAGCAUAUUCAUAUCCCUAGGUGGAUGUUUUGUUUACAUUAAUAUUAUUGCUACUUGUGUUUAAUUCCCAGAGACUGGGAAACCAGAUAUAUUUUACAGCUGGGAAGAUACUCAAUCGGAUUGAACAUUAGCCCACUCAGCACACUAGGUGCUUGCUCUUGAAUUUCAAAGGAGUUAAAAUUAUGCUUGAAAUGAAAGCUGAAUGCUACAUUAUCUCUUUUAUUCUGGUUUCAAAACAUAUAGGAAACAGGCUAGUGAAAGAGAAUGGUGAGCCAGACUGAUUUGGGGUUCAAGGAUAAGAAAAGCAUUGUCCCUGCCCACAGCACAAGCCAGGUGUGAAAAUGUUUGGUUAGUUACAUUAGAAAAAUUAAACAUUUUUAUUUUAUCAUUGUUUUAAAAAGAAACAGAUGCUCACAUUAGCAUUUUCUCUAAGAUGUUGUGAUAUUAUGGUGGAGCGUGCACACAUUUUAAAAGCACAUUUCAAAUGUCUUCCUUUCCCUAAGAUGACUCAGUCAUUGAUAAGUGGAACAUUAAUCAGAUGAGAUGCCACAAAAAUGUUGCCUGGUUCCUGGCUUGCUGAUGGAGAGACUGACUGGACUCCCACCAUGCCUCCACACAGGGAAUCUGUCUCCUUGACUCCUAGAAGUCACCAGCUCCCUGGUCUUCUGCCUUUCUUGAUGCGGCUUCUCACACAAUAUCUCACUGAAGAAAUUCAUUAGCCUAACAGAACUAUAAUGGCAACUCUGUGAAGUGUUAGCAGUUGACACUGGAUCAUGGCAAGAAUGGUGGGAAGAAGAUGAGUGCCAGUUACAGUCAUCUGUGGGGCUCAGCCCCCAGUCCAUCCUCUUCCCUCAUCCACAGGAAAGGAGAUUCAUCCAAGUGCUGAAGAGGCUGCUACCAGAAAUCAUGUCUGAAUAUGGAAGAUCUGAGCAGUGCUGGGGAAGAAGACGGUCCUGGUACCUCCAUUUAAGAUCUUAAUGCACACAUAUCCUCCCAGUAAAACAUCCGGCUUCUGAGCUUUUUCUUUUUUGCCAUCACUCUAUGAUCCGGAGAACAAACAGGAUAUACUGAAGAUAUCUGUUGGAGUAAUUGUUGAGCUGCUACAUAGAUGUGAAAGCCAAAUGUCAACUGAGCAAGUUUGUGUUUGUCUUCACUCUUCAAGAACAGUCUAAGCUGAGAAGAGCCACCGGUCCAAGCUCAUGAUCAUCAGCGCUGACAACACCAAUAUGCUCUAUACCAUAAUAUAGCUGUCCAAUCCCUUCACCCAACUCAGAAUACCUCCAAAGGGUAAUGUCAGCAAGGCCAGCUAAUCUCUUGUCAUUAUGGCAUCACAGUCCAACUUCCCCACCCUACAUCACCUGUGUGUAUUAUGUAAUACCCAAUAAACUUAUAAGUGGC